GUGUAAAAGAAGAUAAGAUAGAUCGGUUUCAAAGGAGAGCUCAGAAUGCACAUGCUCAUGCUUGCAUUCUCAUUAAUUAUUCAUCAAAAUUUAUUUCUCUGGAUGGCUCUUUUUAUUAUGUUUCGUCCAUCAGAGUUUCCUAAUAUAGCAACCUUUUAUCUUCCUCUUGUUUCGAUUUAUUUUCUUUCUUUUUUUUUUGGCUCUUUGUUCUGCUUCACAUGCACCUUCACAAACCGUGCGCAUGAAGAUGCAUCCAAAGUCAAACGGGAUACUCUUCCAUUUUUAUUUAUAUUUUUUUUCCAUUAUAACAUUUAAGGUUGUGUCUCGUAGACCAAUCCAAGGCCUAAUAAACUCAUGACUACGUCUGUGUAGAUAACGUUUAACGUGCAUUAUGUACGACUAUAAUGGGAUAAAUGGGCCGUAAGUACAUAAACGGGCCCAUCGUCAGUCGAUGGCUAAUAGGAACAUCCCCAUGGAUGGAUAUGGGAGUUGACCAACUGCUUCACUCUGACAAGUUAACAGCCGCACAGUGAGAUUCGUGGAGUAGAGAUUGCUCGAGACAAUGGAGAGUGACAAAAGAUGGUCCCUCGCCGGAAAAACCGCUCUAGUAACCGGCGGUACUCGUGGUAUCGGGAGAGCAAUAGUUGAGGAACUCGCAAGAUUCGGGGCAAGAGUUCAUACUUGUUCAAGGAACCAAGAAGAGCUAAAAGCAUGCUUGGAUGAUUGGAGAUCCAAUGAUUUAAAGGUAUCCGGUUCAGUCUGUGAUGCUUCCGAUAGGGGCGAGAGGGAAAAGUUGAUGCAGCAAGUUUCCUCUGCUUUUAGCGGCAAGCUCAACAUCCUUGUAAACAAUGUCUAAGCACCUCAACCCCAAACUAUCCCAAAAGCCAAUUUAUUUUUCUUUAUAAGAGAGAGAGAAGAGGAAGGGAGAAAGCUCAUCUGAGCUCGACGCCGGAGCCGCCGCACACCAGGACGUCGUCAUCACCAUCAACCGCAGCUCAAGGUAACCGGAAACCGCCAUGUUUUGAGUUAAGUUUCGGUCGUUUUAGUAAAUCGACCAUAACUUUCUAACAGUAGCGAAUCUCGUGCAUCCAAGGCCAUCAUCGUGUUCCUCCCGUCGAGACGAAACCGUAGACACCAACCGCGCCGCGAUCGGAGCCCGGACGAGCCCUCACGCGCCUCCAGAAGACCGCCCUUCGCGCGCGCGUGAAACGCACGCGCCGCCGUCACCGCCGGCAAACUUUCCGGUAAACCGCCGCCGCAUCUCCGCCGUCGCCGCCGGUGACCGACACCGGUGACUCGCCGGCGACUCGCCAACUCGGCCGAGUCGACCGGGUGAGUCACCUCGGUAACUCGGUCAAACCGGUGGUUUGACUGGUUUAAUCGGUUUAAAUUGAUUUCGGUUUGGUUAGGAUAAACCGGUCGGUUUAGUCAGGAUAAACCGGUCGGUUUAGUCAAAUUGAUUUCUGGUCAAAGCUUGACCGGGUUGACCUUUGACCAGCGAGUUGACUUUUCCAUAAACCUUGACCAGACCCGUUUUAAACCGUUCGAAAGGCGUUCUGACUCGAAAUUUCGAUCUGAUUUCAGAUUUGGAGUCCAUUUGAGCAGCUGAAGUUCAUAGUUACCACUUCUUAUUGUUGCUAAGGUGAGGGCUACUCCGUUACAUCCCGAGCUAGUUUAGUACUACUGUUAUUGAAAGUUUAGUUUCAAAACAUGAUCCAUCUCUGUGAAUCGAGUCUGUUUGAGAGUCUUGCUUGUUUAUUAUUAUUAUUGAUUGUUAAACCGGAAAUAGGAUAAUAGAGGAUUCAACGGUUGAUUGAAAUGAAUGAUGUUAAGAAUUGUUAUAUAUAUGUAUAUAUAUGCGAGUCCAUGUUUUGGAGAUUUGCGGGGUGCAGAGACGUUUGUACUUACGACGCCUUGAAGAUUUGCGAGGCGCAGUGUGGACUACUGUGCUAGCGACACCAGUAGAGUUAUAUAUAUUUAUAUCCUUAUGAGGAAAUGUGGUAUAUUAUUAUCGCAUUGGUUGUAGCAUGUCUAGUCCACUAGACAUAUGUGAUUGUUCUGUGUGGUGUAAUAUGCACCGUGAUUGUCUCAUGCUAGAACUAGGCCUACAUAGUUGUAGUGCUAUGAACUGAGCCAGUGGUUUGCGGUUUAGCAUCUCAUACCUCACUGGGCGAUUCUCAUGUCGCUCACUCCUCCUUCUUUCCCCCUUUCAGGUGAGACCGACGAGCAGGAGUGAUUUUCGGACAGGUGCUAUUGGGCUUUUGGGCUUCUAUCGUUUUAUCGCUUUUAUAGACCUUUGGGCUUUUAUCGUUUAUGUUAUUUCGUAUUUCGGACUCUCGGUUUAUGUCGUACUUUAUGUUUCAGAUUUUAUUUUAUAUAAUGGAAUUCAAGCGUGGAUGUUGACUUUCAAAUAUUUAUAUAUGGAUAUUUCAGAUAUUUGUACUUAUCUAAUUAUUUUCACUAUUUUUACUAUAAAUAUAUAAAUGUUUACUUUCGAAAUAGUAAAAAUAAUUUGAUAAGUACAAAUAUCUGAAAUAUCCAUAUACCCCCCCCCCCCCGCAAAUCUCCACAAACAUGGCAGCCAGUGCAAACGUCUCUGCACCCCGCAAAACUCCUCAAACAUAGGCAGCCAGUGCAAACGUCUCUGCACCCCGAAAAUCUUCAAAACAUGGACUCGCAUAUAUAUACAUAUAUAUAACAAUUCUUAACAUCAAUCAUUCCAAUCAACCGUUGAAUCCUCUAUUAUCCUAUUUCCGGUUUAACAAUCAAUAAUAAUAAUAAACAAGCAAGACUCUCAAAUAGACUCGAUUCGCAGAGACAAAUCAUGUUUUGAAACUAAACUUUCCAUAACGGUAGUACUAAACUAGCUCGGGAUUUAACGGAGUAGCCCUCACCUUAGCAACAAUAAGAAGUGGUAACUAUGAACUCCAGCUGCUCAAAUGGACUCCAAAUCUGAAAUCAGAUCGAAAUUUCGAGUCAGAAUGCCUUUCGAACGGUUUAAAAUGGGUCUGGUCAAAGUUUAUGGAAAAGUCAACUCGCUGGUCAAAGGCCAACCCGGUCAAGCUUUGACCAGAAAUCGAUUUGACUAAACCGUCCGGUUUACCCUAGCCGAACCGAAAUCAAUUUAAACCGGUCAAACCGGUGGUUUGACCGAGUUACCGAGUUGACUCACCGGGUCGAAUCGGCCGAGUUGGCGAGUCGCCGGCGAGUCACCGGUGUCGGUCACCGGCGGCGACGGCGGAGCUACAGCGGCGGUUUACCGGAAAGUUGGCCGGCGGCGACGGCGGCGCGUGCGUUUCACGCGCGCGCGAAUGGCGGUCUUCUGGAGGUGCAUGAGGGCUCGUCCGGGCUCCGAUCGCGGCGAGGUUGGUGUCUACGGCUUCGUCUCGACGGGAGGAACACGAUGAUGGCCUUGGAUGCACGAGAUUCAGUACGGUUAGAAAGUUAUGGUCGAUUUACUAAAACGACCAAAACUUAACUCAAAACAUGGCGGUUUCCGGUUACCUUGAACUGCGGUUGAUGGUAAUGACGAGCUUGACGACGUCCUGGUGUGCGGCGGCUCCGGCGACGAGCUCAGUGGAGUACACGAGUGAGGAUUAUGCAAAAGUCAUGUCGACCAACUUUGAAUCCGCUUUCCAUUUUUCCCAAAUCGCUCAUCCUCUUCUGAAAGCAUCUGGGGUCGGAAGCAUUGUGUUUGUUUCCUCUGUAGCUGGCCUGGUGUAUGCUAGUGCUGGACCUAUCUAUGGUGCAACAAAAGUAUUCUCUCAGGAGGCCUUAAUCAGCUUACAAGGAAUCUAGCUUGUGAGUGGGCAUGCGACAAUAUCAGAACCAACUCCGUGGCGCCAUGGUACAUCAAUACCUCAUUUGUUGAACCGGUACUUGAGAAUAAAGAGUUUAUGGGCGCCGUGGUUAACCGGACCCCACUUGGUCGAGUUGGAGAACCAGAGGAAGUUGCUUCGCUGGUUGCUUUCCUCUGCCUUCCCGCUGCCUCUUACAUCACCGGACAGGUCAUUGUCGCUGACGGAGGAUUCUUCAAUUACGCCAAUGAAGCCUAAACCUCGCAUCGGAACUUUACUAAUAAAGCAAGAAUCUGUAGUAGUAACAUUCUCGCAACAUUUUGUUUAGUGCCUAAACCUUACAAACAGUUCAGAGCUUGUUUUAGAGGCCCCCAACUAUUAGCCCUUCUAUUUUGUACUAUGAUAAUGCCUGUCAAGGUCUUUUUCCUUUA